CAGCUGCUGUGAAAUUCCUUGUAUUGGAUCCUGAACUCCCUGGGACAAAGGUAAAGGUGUUCUUGAAAGGAACAUUGGAAUAUCCAUCAUGGACUUUACCAAGAAGCCUUCUAUUUAAUUGCUUCCAACAUCCUUUUGUGAACCAAUGGAAUGAAGACAGAAGACAACUACAUCCAAUGAUUGGAUAAUUCUUAUAAAGAGAUGUUGAAUGCCAGUUUUACCUUAUCCUGAAGCAACACACAACCCAUUAACUAUACAUUUCCAGAAAGGUUCUUUGCAUUGUUGCGUUUGAUCUGACGUGAUGAGUGACGCACUCUCUAGUGACAUGCAAGUUUAACUAUUAUUUGCAGAACUGAAGAGCCAAAGAGCAAUGAAAUGAUAUCACAGUAAAGAUAAUUUACGUACAUGAAUUCUGUAAUCCGUUUAGACUGGUGAUCCCAAAGGAGAAGGUUACCUUGUUUGUAUGAAGUCAGAAACUCAUGAAUGUUGCCUAAGCUGCAUAAACACAACUGUAGAAUUUCUUAUUCCUAUUUUAUGAACUGAUGCUGACAUUAUAAAA